rnacentral:rRNA from 1 species
AUUGAACGCUGGCGGCAGGCCUAACACAUGCAAGUCGAACGAGUGGCGGACGGGUGAUUAAUGUCUGGGAAACUGCCUGAUGGAGGGGGAUAACUACUGGAAACGGUAGCUACUACCGCAUACCCUCGGAUGUGCCCAGAUGGGAUUAGCUAGUAGGUGGGGUAACGGCUCACCUAGGCGACGAUCCCUAGCUGGUCUGAGAGGAUGACCAGCCACACUGGAACUUAGACACGGUCCAGACUCCUACGUGAGGCAGACGUGGGGAAUAUUGCACAAUGGGAGCAAGCCUGAUGCAGCCAUGCCGCGUGUAUGAAGAAGGCCUUCGGGUUGUAAAGUACUUUCAGCGGGGAGGCGUUACCCGCAGAAGAAGCACCGGCUAACUCCGUGCCAGCAGCCGCGGUAAUUC